rnacentral:rRNA from 1 species
GAUGAACGCUGGCGGCGUGCCUAAUACAUGCAAGUCGAGCGAACAGACGAGGAGCUUGCUCCUCUGACGUUAGCGGCGGACGGGUGAGUAACACGUGGAUAACCUACCUAUAAGACUGGGAUAACUUCGGGAAACCGGAGCUAAUACCGGAUAAUAUAUUGAACCGCAUGGUUCAAUAGUGAAAGACGGUUUUGCUGUCACUUAUAGAUGGAUCCGCGCCGCAUUAGCUAGUUGGUAAGGUAACGUCUUACCAAGGCAACGAUGCGUAGCCGACCUGAGAGGGUUAACGGCCACACUGGAACUGAUACACGCUCCACACUCCCACGUGAUGCAGCAGUAGGGUAUCUUCCGCAAUGCGCGAAUGCUUGACGGAGCAACGCCGCGUGAGUGAUGAAGCUCUUCGGAUCGUAAAACUCUUUUAUUAGGGAAGAACAAAUGUGUAAGUAACUAUCCUCGUCGUGACGGUACCUCAUCAGUAAGCCACGGCUAACUAAGUG